rnacentral:rRNA from 1 species
AUUGAACGCUGGCGGCAUGCCUUACACAUGCAAGUCGAACGGCAGCACGGGUGCUUGCACCUGGUGGCGAGUGGAGAACGGGUGAGUAAUACAUCGGAACGUACCUUAUCGUGGGGGAUAACGCAGCGAAAGCUGUGCUAAUACCGCAUAAGCCCUGAGGGGGAAAGCGGGGGAUCGAAAGACCUCGCGCGAUUAGAGCGGCCUAUGCCUGAUUAGCCGGUUGGUGGGGUAAAAGCCCACCAAGGCGACGACCAGUAGCUGGUCUGAGAGGACGAUCAGCCACACUGGGACUGGGACACGGCCCAGACUCCUACGGGAGGCAGCAGUGGGGAAUUUUGGACAAUGGGGGCAACCCUGAUCCAGCAAUGCCGCGUGAGUGAAGAAGGCCUUCGGGUUGUAAAGCUCUUUUGUCAGGGAAGAAACACCGGCUCUAACACAGUCCGGGAAUGACGGUACCUGAAGAAUAAGCACCGGCUAACUACGUGCCAGCCGCCGCGGUAA